UAAUAAAAGGUGCCGGAGCCCAGCAUACGGCAGAGUCGCUAGGAUCACGGAAUCCCGCGCUUCCUGCUGCUGGCGCUCUCCACCAGAUGAUAUCUCCGCGUCUCACCUCUCCCUGGUGACCCUCGCGGGCAUGACUUCAGUUGCUGACUUUUUAUUCAAUUAUUUUACUUUGGCUUCUGGUCAUUACAUUGACUUGUUUGACAUGUUUAGCCAAAUCAUUGCCAAUUAGAAGUGGAGAUGGCAACUCUCUUUCAGUUUUUAAUUUCUAUUUCUCAUUUUAUUUUAAGAUCUCUACUUGGUCAGUAUUUACAGUGUCCUCAGGUUCUGCACUAUCCCCUGUAACCAUGAACUUAGGUUCAGUCAAGUGUUUUUACUCAGCAGGCAUUUUGACAAAAUCUUUACUUUGCAAAUUUUCUUAAAUACUAGCUGUACCUGGCCACACAUUGCUGUGGCUCAGUCUGGUGAAGUGGAAAAGAAAGAAAGAGAAAGCGAACGGUUCUAACAUGUGUCAUUGCACAAUGCUUAAAAGGGAGGGGAGGGGCAAGGGGCCCCUCGCUCCCAUCCCUCUCUUCCAUUCCCUUGUAUGGCACCAUGCCCCUCCCUCCCUCACGUUCUCCUUCCUCUGCUAGGAUGGAUGGGCCAUGUCCAGAUGGCGGGCCCCGUCCCUUUCACUCCUUUCCCUUGCAUGGUUCCAACUAUCACAGGCAUGGCAUGUACACAAUACCUCUCACGGUUGUGACAUGUACAUAACAGGAGGUGUGGAAACAGUAUGAAAACCUGGCCCUACCUGAAUGUGACACUUCCUCUGGUGAGUUUUCAGCCGAUGAUGUAGUGCUGGAAAAAUAGGGAUGGGGGAAGAUAUGCUUAUAGGCAUUUCAGCCAUUCCAAGUGUGAAGGGAACUGGUGAACUGAAGGUGUAAUCACAUGGUGAAAUAAGGUGCUUAUGCCACCCUGCACAUAUGUGUGUGCAUUUUUCUGAGGAGGUAGUGGUGGCAUAUGCAAUUCAUUUGCUGGUACUAUUCCUUUUCCAUUUUACCAGAAUGAGCCGCAGCAACGCAUGGCGGACCCCGUCCCUUUCACUCCAGAUGGCAGGGGGUUUCAAAGAAGGCAUGGUUGUUUCCCUUGUAUCAGAUGGUGUUGCUUUGACAUCCAGCAGAUGUCGCUGUUGCAGAAAAGAACUGUGCUUCCAAUUGUCACAGGUGUGUACACAAUAACUGGCACAGUUGUGACAUGUACUCAACAGGAGGUGUGGAAACAGUAUGAAAACCUGGCCACAUGUGAAUGCGACCUUGUGUGAAAAUUUCAAAGCAACUGGUCAAGUACUUUCGGAGAUAGACAGCGAGGAACAAACACACUGUUAGCUUUAUAUAUCUAUAUCUAUAGAUAUACCUUUAUAUUUCAUCACCUUGUGUGACCGUUUGUGAAACUGGUCUAUAUCCGACCACUAUGGCAUCAGUUUAUGGGGUUUUUUUCUACUAGGGGACACAUACAACCUCCUAAGAUUUUUGGAAUCGAGGUUCAUUUUGAACUGUAAAUCUUCCCCUCAGUUUCCAGGUAUUCUACAGGUAGAUGUUAUUUACCUCCAUGCUAUGAAUAGCUUCAGCUGCCCGUUUCCAAACAUUAAGCCUCUGAUAAAGAACAAAAAAUAUAUAGUCUUCUAAGCUUGAGCCUACUGAUUUUUUUAUACCUUUGUCUCAACUGCCUUCAACAUUGCAUCUUUUUGAGAGCCUUUGCCACCCUCAUCAGGGAUUUCUUUUUUGCUUUGAUUUUCUUUUGAUUAAUUUUUUUUCUACAUUGGCUUCCCCAAAUAAGUAGUGAUUCCUAAUUUGUCUCUGGGUAGCCUGGUUAUUCUGUUUCUAUCACAUAUGUUGGGGCCAGCCAUUUUGCUAUUAGAUUCAGGGGAUGUGUUCUAUUGUAGCCUGGAACAAAAGAAAUCCAUAGCCAUAUUGAGAAUAUAACACUAUAAUGGAAGUUUGUUUAUUUAUUUAUUUGAUUUGGUAGACUGCCCUACCCCCGAAGGGUUUAGUUGUCUCCUGAGUUGCUCUGAUGUUGUGUGUUACUAUUUGCUUAAUCAUUCUGCCAGAACCAAAAUGAGACUGUGAUAUAUAUUGUUCAUUUUUUUUAAAGCAGACUUGUAAAAAUAUUUUGUUAGCUACUGACUUCAUAGUCUCACUGAGUUGAGUUUUGUGUAUUUUAAAACAACUAUUUUAAGGAAAUGAAUAAUAUUUCACUGUAGACCUUUAUUUUAUUGUUGACUAAUAUACAUCCUGAAGUAAAUAGAAACAGCAUUUAAAGAGCUUUAAAAUAUGA